AGGGCGCCGAUUGGGUGAUAACCCUAGCAUCCACUCCCCGUCGCCGUUCCUCUCCUGCCGCCUACCUCACCUCUGCUGCUCUCCCCACCGUUCGUCCCCUUCCUGCCAUUCGCCUCUCUCUGCCGCUCGCGCCGCCGUCGCCAUCGAAGAUCUGCUGCUCGCGCUGCCGCUUCCUGAUCGCCUCGCGCGUCACGUCGUCGGGAGGAGAGGAAGGUCGCGCUGCUCUUCCCCGAGGAGCGCGCCGUUGCGCCGUCAACGGGAGGAGGCCAGGCGGAGUGACGGGAGGAGGUCAACCGGAGCGCGCCCUCGGCACCGUCUGGCGCGUUGACGGGAGGAGGACAGGUGGUGCGCGUCAUUGCAACCGGCUAGCACAAGGGCGGAGCCAUCAGUAGCGGUGGCGGUUGGGCUGAUGUGGACAUGGCUGCAAGCUCGACGUGAGGCAGCGUUAGCGACGAGCUCACCAGGUAGGUUCCUGCAAAGGGGAUUUAAGAGAUGUUCGGAUCUAGCUAAACAUGAAGACUGAACUGAUAGAUUUUGUCUACUACCUAUCAAGUUCAUUCGUCCACAUUUAUCUCCUUUUAUGGUCAGUGGUGAAGAGGGCACCGCAUCCGGGUACCAAAGCCAUCCAUGCCAUUCCGUACUCCUCUCAUCAUACACUUGAUCAUUUCUUUGUUGUGGAUGUCCACGGCAAGAAUGAAGCAUGGACCUUCACGUCCCUAGGCAGAAAAGACAUACUGAUUUGAAGACCACCUCAAUUGUUUGGGAUCUGGAUUGUCUAUACAUAUUUUGUUGGUGGUUGGCCGAUUUGGCCCAUCAUAAUUUUGUCCUGCUACCAUGCAGUUCUAUGUACCAUGCAAUUUUUUUCCUCCAUCCUGGUCUCAAGGUGUGAUUAUGAUUUACUUUCUACAGAUUGUUUAAGUAUCCGAUUGGUUGAGUGCUUUGAAUAUGUACACCUAAGGUGUCCGUUCACCCUUUUGUAUUAUCUAAAUCAGUGUGAAUAUUUUAGUACCUUAAUCCUGAACCGCGUUGUGAUUCAUGGUCUUUAUUUCAAGUGAUAGGAGCUGUGAUUGACUCACUAUGGUGACCAUGUCUUAGUGAGAAGCACCGUAGUAGCCUUUUUAUAUUGCCGAGGGAGCGGCUGAUGGAGGCGGUCUGCAGAUGGCGUGCGAGUCAAGGAGGUCCACCGCAAGCGGCCGAUGAUGGGCGCACCGGCGAUGAGAUCUCCGGUGGAAAGAUGCAUCCAGGCCCCGACCACCUCUCCACCACGACGUGCCAGCCAGUUCUCUCUUGCCCCUCCUUCUACACCAAAUCGCCGUCUCACCCACCAGUUCCAGAGGGGGCAGAAGAGGAGCCAUUUGCACUCACCAGUAAGUUGCGGAAGGCUACAACCUCUCUCGAUGAGUACUGCCUCGGCUACAACCUCCCUCGGGGAGCUCCAUCUUCCUCCUGCUGCUCUGCUUCGGCUACUAGAUCGGGAUCGCGCCUUGGCGCGAGGGUGCUGGUCCCAACGACGUGGCCAAGCGGGUAAAGAUGAGAUGCUAUGAUGCGUUAGUAGAAAGGAUAGUAAGUGCAGCUCAUCCAUAAUCACUAAAAAUGAUACAAUUGUGGAUGUAGGUUUCUAUUGAAACAAUCACUAAAAAUGAUAAAUAUGCAAGUGGUGACAGAUUGUUGUUACCAUGUGGACCUUAAGCUCCACCAUUUCCUACUUUUGCUCUCCUAGCCAACCCUAGGUUUCCCGGCAAGGCGAUGGUGUGCGAACCAUGUGCGCCUGCCUAGCUGUAUUGCGGCUCACGGAUGCGGCGGAGGUGGCACAUGAGCAGAUGAAAGAGGAAUAACUGAAGCCCCAAUGCCUCCACAUAUUCUUGCUCACCGACAAUGGGAGUACUAGGUUGCAAACUCCUUCCCCUUCCCUUAUAUUUACAAUUCCUUUUAGAUUAUCCAUCACCGAUGUUGAUUGUUGACUGAAAUAUUUAGUUCUGUUGUUGCACACCAUAUCUGCACACUAUGUGUUUAUCUAUUUAGUUGGUCCUCACUGUUACUAAAAAUAGAUAGGUUGUCCACGAUGGAUGUCGAAUUUGGUGUUGAAAUUGUUAAUGAGAAUCUAUAGAGUGCCUAAUGUUAACCUUUCUUCUAUGCCCCAAAUGCACUAUCAGUGUUGGUCAGCUACAAAGAACAUAGCAUGAUAUCGCUGGAUUAAAAUGGAGGUACAUUGAUUACAAUCCAGCAGAGGAACUCAACGAGUCAAAAAACUCAUAGAAAGUUACCAACUCACCUCACACUUGAUCUGUUAGCUUUUUUAGCUUUCAGUAGUAGCAUGUAUGGUCAUGUAGAUGAGUUAUUCAUAAAGCUUAAAGGUGUCUCUUUGUCCUUCAUUUUUGGUUACUUUGAAUCGUUUUAAAUGGACGCUGAAUCCUACUACAUGCUAUGUUCUAUCAUGCUGAUCUAUAGUUUUGUUGCCUAUUCUUUGUGUCAAAACUCUUGCUCCGAUUUCACAUGAUCUAAUUAGUGUUCAAUACAGAACAACCCUUUUGGAUUAUGACUAAUCUCUCUAUUAUUUUGUAUGGUGCCUCCACUAAUAUGUCAUUACUUUACAUUUCAAGUUUUCAGUGUGAAACAAUGAUUGUAUCUCCUGCCACUGAAGAUAUCUAAUGGGGAACAUGUAAAUGAGACCUGGAAAUGAAGGCAACAUGUUUUAUACAUUAUUUUGUUUUGUUCAUACGACCUGUUUCGGCUUUUGAGAUCAGUUUCAAGAUCUUGAUACUUUGAAGUUUAUACUGCACUUCACAUAAAAAUACCUGGGCAUAUGUUUUUUUUAUUCAGCAAAGUGAACAUCUAUACUUGGAUGCUUUUUCCACAGGCAUCUCACUAGUGACUUGAUUACUGAUGGAAGGAUCUCCAUGACGAUUGAUGUUGGGAAUCAUUUGCCUCUACACCGAUGACCCUCUCAUGUUGUAUUAUACAAUGAGCUACCAUGACGUCCUCCACCGACAGCUAUUUGAACCUCAGUGCAAAUUCUUCUGUAAAAAUGACUCGCAUCAAGUCUUUUGCACUUUCCUCUCGACUUUCUAAAUGUGGAUCAUAUUAUGUGUUAUUGCUUUAUUUGAGAUAUAUCAAUGGCCAUGGAGUUUCUUUUA